AAAGUCCCCUUCGGGGGAUUAGUAGAGUGGCGUCCGGGUGAGUAACACGUAGGUAAUCUACCUUCGGGUGGGGAAUAACGCAGGGAAACUUGCGCUAAUACCGCAUAAUGCAGCGGCACCACAUGGUGACAGUUGUUAAAGCGGGGGAUUUUAGGACCUCGCGCCUGAAGAGGAGCCUGCGGCAGAUUAGCUAGUUGGUAGGGUAACGGCUUACCAAGGCAACGAUCUGUAGCCGGCCUGAGAGGGCGGUCGGCCACACUGACACUGACAUACGGGUCAGACUCCUACGGGAGGCAGCAGUCGGGAAUUUUGGGCAAUGGGCGAAAGCCUGACCCAGCAACGCCGCGUGAAGGAUGAAAUCCCUCGGGAUGUAAACUUCGCAAGAAUGGGAAGAAUUAGUAGGGGUUAAUACCCUCUAUGAUGACGGUACCAUUUGUAAGCUCCGGCUAACUCCGUGCCAGCAGCCGCGGUAAUACGGGGGGAGCAAGCGUUGUUCGGAUUUACUGGGCGUAAAGGGCGCGUAGGCGGUCAGCACAAGUCAGUUGUGAAAUCUCCGGGCUUAACUCGGAAAGGUCAACUGAUACUGUGCGACUAGAGUGCGGAAGGGGCAACUGGAAUUCUCGGUGUAGCGGUGAAAUGCGUAGAUAUCGAGAGGAACACCUGCGGCGAAGGCGGGUUGCUGGGCCGACACUGACGCUGAUGCGCGAAAGCCAGGGGAGCGAACGGGAUUAGAUACCCCGGUAGUCCUGGCCUUAAACGAUGGAUGCUUGGUGUCUGGAGUUUUAUAGUCUCCGGGUGCCGUA
rnacentral:rRNA from 1 species